rnacentral:rRNA from 1 species
AUUGAACGCUGGCGGCAGGCUUAACACAUGCAAGUCGAGCGAGCGGCGGACGGGUGAGUAAUGUCUGGGAAACUGCAUGAUGGAGGGGGAUAACUACUGGAAACGGUAGCUAAUACCGCAUACCAUCAGAUGUGCCCAGAUGGGAUUAGCUAGUAGGUGGGGUAAUGGCUCACCUAGGCGACGAUCCCUAGCUGGUCUGAGAGGAUGACCAGGCACACGGGAACUGCGACACGGUCCAGACUCCUACGGGUGGCAGCAGUGGGGAAUAUGGCACAAUGGGCGCAAGCCUGAUGCAGCCAUGCCGCGUGUGUGAAGAAGGCCUUCGGGUUGUAAAGCACUUUCAGGGAGGAGGCGUUACUCGCAGAAGAAGCACCGGCUAACUCCGUGCCAGCCGCCGCGGUAAUUC